AUAUUCUCUCUCUCUGAAAAUAUUUUAAGAACCCAGACCACUCAGCUUCCCAGGUUGCUUUGCCAUGAACAGCUGCAUAUGUUUGUCAGCUUUGCCCACCUGAGUGUGAAAUGAUGUUCUAUGAAAACAUGGGUUUCAGCAUUUCACUCUCUGCUCCUGACACGUGAACCCUGCUGCGGACAGUAACUGCUGCCUUCGGCCCAGGCAUUGCACUGAUAUUGCGCGCAGAGUGGAAGCAUUUGCUCAGUGGACAGAACUGUACCGCUCUCUUUUUGGCCAGCUCCACCCUCCCGACGAAGGCCACGGGGAUUGACAUCGCCCACCUCCGACACCCAGUGGGCGCCUUGGCUGGUGCGGCUGCUGGUCCAGAUGGAGGAAACCAGUGACUUUAUGGGGCUGAGCUAGUAGGGAAGCCCCUGGGAAGGUGCUGCGUUCCAAACCUGUGCCUAAUACAUGCAAGGGUGCUGUCCCGCCCAACCCCGCCUUUAAACGCCACAAAUAAAGAGC
rnacentral:sRNA from 1 species